rnacentral:misc_RNA from 1 species
AAGUCGUAACAAGGUUUCCGUAGGUGAACCUGCGGAAGGAUCAUUAAAGAUUCGACCUUCGGGUCUAUCUUAUCUUCAGCUGUGCGCUUUUGCUGCACGCUGUUGAACUUCACACACCUGUGCACACUUCGGUUGCGGUUAGUUAACUCUAGCUGCUUCCGCUUUUACAUUUAACUACUAAGUCUUGAAUGUCAAAUACAAUAAAAAAUAACAACUUUCAACAACGGAUCUCUUGGCUCUC